rnacentral:rRNA from 1 species
GAAGGAUCAUUAUUGAAAUAAACCUGAUGAGUUGCUGCUGGCUCUCUAGGGAGCAUGUGCACACUUGUCAUCUUUAUAUCUCCACCUGUGCACCUUUUGUAGACCUGGAUAUCUCUCUGAGUGCUUAGCACUUCAGGUUUGAGGAUUGACUUUAUUGUCCUAUCUUUAUAUUUCCAGGCCUAUGUUUCUUCAUAUACCCCAUUGUAUGUUAUAGAAUGUAAUAAAUAGGCCUUUGUGCCUAUAAACCUAUACAACUUUCAGCAACGGAUCUCUUGGCUCUCGCAUCGAUGAAGAACGCAGCGAAAUGCGAUAAGUAAUGUGAAUUGCAGAAUUCAGUGAAUCAUCGAAUCUUUGAACGCACCUUGCGCUCCUUGGUAUUCCGAGGAGCAUGCCUGUUUGAGUGUCAUUAAUAUAUCAACCUCUUCAACUUUUGUUGAGUGUUGGAUGUGGGGGUUCUCUUUUGCUGGCCUCUCCGAGUUCAGCUCCCCUGAAAUACAUUAGCGGAACAAUUUUGUGGAUUCGUUCAUUGGCGUGAUAAUUAUCUAUGCUAUUGACGUGAAGCAGUUCAGCUUAUAACAGUCCAUUAACUUGGCCAAUUUUUUUUAUUAAUGUGACCUCAAAUC